GGGUCAGUAGGUUGGUCGUGCCACCGGUACGUACUGGUCUCACUGAUUCCUCCUCCCUGAAGAACCGUAAUGCCAUUAAUUUGGUGUUGCGGGGAAACAGGACUGUUACUUUGAAAAAAUUAGAGUGUUUAAAGCAAGCUAACGCUUGAAUACAUUAGCAUGGAAUAAUAAAAUAGGACGAUCGAUCCUAUUUUGUUGGUUUCUAGGAUUGACGUA
rnacentral:rRNA from 1 species